GCGACCAAUCCCCAUAUCAACCUCCCUCGAUCUCCCGUACGUCCCCUACCAUCGUGUUGCCAUCGUCUGUGCCGCUUGCCUCGACCCCCAUUCCUGACCUCACGCUGCCCGGCGCCUCCUCCCCACACCAAGGACCUCCCCUUGCUUCGACUCUUCUUCCUAUCCGGUUAGAACCGCGACGCACGGCCUCUCGUGCUCACCCGCGACCCUCAGCUGUGGCUAGGGUUUUGGGCUGGGAAGCGCCUUCGCCGCCGGCGCGGCUCCGGUGGACUCCGACGGCUCCUCUUUGUCUCCUCCCUCGCCCCCCACGUGCGGUUCCGCUUCCCGCUGGCCACGAGGUGCAGCCUUGGAGGGGCGCAUCGGGCUGGGCCUCCUCUGUUUUCGAUUUGGUGCAGCAGACGUUGUGGGGUUGAGGUGUUCUCCGAUGAUUUGCUUAUCUGCUUUAUAGACACCAUUGUGUGACUGAAGUUCCUGUUUUGUUUAACUCCCCCGAAAUACCAGGUCAUGAGCUUGGCCGGCGCAAGAAUAAACUUCGCAGAUACCGAGAGAUGAACAUCGCUUCAUGAACAUGGUGAAUUUAGUGACAACUAAAGUAAAUCCAUAGGCCCAGCUUUGAGUCUGUAUCAGAACUACCGCAUUCUGCAUUGUAUUGCUACAAGCUGUCAAUUAUAGCGCACAGAUCAGUACUAAGUCCAAGCCCUGAGCUCCUUGUUUUUUUUCCUCCCGAAGCACUUUGUCACUGUAACAAAAUACACCAGGUUUGACUGUUUAAGUAAGCAAGUCCUUGCUAUAGUCAUGUCUGCUGUGCACUGGCCUGCUCCUUCUACUGGGUCUGGCAUUCCAUUCUAACUACACACCUAAUAUAACAUGGUGUCGUUGCAGGUUGUGUAGUUUACACUCUACAUUAGUUUAUCUAGCUAUUUACAACUCACUCUGAUCUAAUUAGGUAAACCUUGAACACAAGCCAUCUACUAUUGGACAAGGCAUGAUCUAAUCAGAUAAAUCUUGAACAUAAGCCUCCUACUGUUGAUGUCAUGUUGGCAAGGCAGAUAUCUCCUUCUUUCAUCUUAUAUUUAUUUGCAAAUGCCCCCCAUCCCUUGGUAAUGGACGUCAGUUCGCUCAACUGAUGAACCUUUAACCUGACAUUGAAGUCAAACAUCGUCGCUUCGCUCUCUAGCUGAAGGCGGAUGAGCCUUUUUAUUUCUUUUGCAUGCGGGAAACUACACACCUUAGUAUAUUCCUUGCACAAUACCCACUCAUAAAUUCACAGAUUCAGAUCAAUGGAUGAUUCAAAGGAAAUAGUCAGUGCUAACUGAU